rnacentral:misc_RNA from 1 species
ACAAACUUGGUCAUUUAGAGGAAGUAAAAGUCGUAACAAGGUUUCUGUAGGUGAACCUGCGGAAGGAUCAUUAAAAAAGUACGCUCCAGCUAAGGUGUAAAACGCUGACUGCUGGUGGCUGUAUUCAACCACUUGUUUACUUGUACCUGUUGCUUCCGUGGAGUUACGGGUGCUCGCCCUGUUCGCAGGUGUGGGUUACCUUCCACGGGUGUAGUUUGAACGCUUGUUUAGUUGCAUGUAGUGUCUGAAUAACUAUUAUAAUAAAGUUAAAACUUUCAACAACGGAUCUCUAGGUUCUCGCAUCGAUGAAGAACGCAGC